rnacentral:rRNA from 1 species
GGGAAAGCUUUCGCGGUAUGGGAUGGGGUCGCGUCCUAUCAGCUUGACGGCGGGGUAACGGCCCACCGUGGCUUCGACGGGUAGCCGGCCUGAGAGGGCGACCGGCCACAUUGGGACUGAGAUACGGCCCAGACUCCUACGGGAGGCAGCAGUGGGGAAUAUUGCACAAUGGGCGCAAGCCUGAUGCAGCGACGCCGCGUGAGGGAUGGAGGCCUUCGGGUUGUAAACCUCUUUUAUCGGGGAGCAAGCGAGAGUGAGUUUACCCGUUGAAUAAGCACCGGCUAACUACGUGCCAGCAGCCGCGGUAAUACGUAGGGUGCAAGCGUUAUCCGGAAUUAUUGGGCGUAAAGGGCUCGUAGGCGGUUCGUCGCGUCCGGUGUGAAAGUCCAUCGCUUAACGGUGGAUCCGCGCCGGGUACGGGCGGG